rnacentral:misc_RNA from 1 species
UCCGGUUUGGCACCGGCAGUCUCCUACGAGUUCUCGCCAUUACACGUUAGUAACUAUGAAUAAGGGUUGCGCUCGUUGCGGGACUUAACCCAACAUCUCACGACACGAGCUGACGACAGCCAUGCAGCACCUCGACUGGACCCCCUUGCGGGGUAGCAAUGUUUCCACUGCCGUUGACCAGCCGUUCGAGCCCAGGUAAGGUUCUUCGCGUUGCGUCGAAUUGAACCACAUGCUCCACCGCUUGUGCGGGCCCCCGUCAAUUCCUUUGAGUUUCAGCCUUGCGACUGUACUCCCCAGGCGGCAUAUUUAACGCGUUAGCUCCGGCACGGACAGAAUGAACUGCCCACACCAAAUAUGCAUCGUUUAGGGCGUGGACUAC